rnacentral:rRNA from 1 species
AGACCGAUAGCAAACAAGUACAGUGAUGGAAAUUUGAAAAGAACUUUGAAGAGAGAGUUAAGAGUACGUGAAACUGUAUGGCAGUAAACACAGCCUUCCUCGAAGUUUGCCCGGGAGACCCAACCUAGGGGUGGGCCAGCCCUUGGCGCCUGAUCAGCAAUGACUGGCGUCGGGGUGCCUGGUCUGUCCACGGGUGCAUCUCUCUCGGGUGUUACGGUAGGAACUGUUGGGACUGGACCAAGGGCCUGGGAUGAAGUUCUCGCUCCGGCGUUAGCUCCCGGUGUCCCGGCUCCGGACCCGACAGGCCUAGUGGCCGACUUGUACAGCAAGCAACCCUUCUGUUGCGGUCGGUCCUUCCCUAUCGAGUAGGUCGGCGGAGGCUGUGACCCGUCUUGAAACACGGAC